rnacentral:rRNA from 1 species
UACGUAGGGUGCAAGCGUUUGUCCGGAAUUAUUGGGCGUAAAGAGCUCGUAGGCGGCUUGUCGCGUCGUCCGUGAAAACCUGCAGCUCAACUGCAGGCUUGCGGUCGAUACGGGCAGGCUAGAGUUCGGUAGGGGAGACUGGAAUUCCUGGUGUAGCGGUGAAAUGCGCAGAUAUCAGGAGGAACACCGGUGGCGAAGGCGGGACUCUGGGCCGAUACUGACGUGAGGAGCGAAAGCGUGGGGAGCGAACAGG